GAGAUGAGAGAGUAGGUCACAUGACAGCUGAGGAUCAGAAGGAAGGUUAUAACUCACAUAAACAGUCUCUGGUAAGAAAAUGACAUUCACUACAGGUUACAUCAUGUACCUUUCUAACAGGUCAGAGAAUAUACAUUUUUGUGGG